GCCGACGUAGCUCAGGUGGUAGAGCAACGCUUUCGUAAAGCGUAGGUCGCCGGUUCGAGUCCGGCCGUCGGCU
rnacentral:tRNA from 1 species